UAUAUAUUAGCGCUGGACAGAAUAAAGAAACCCAGCCCAAACCGACCAAACCAUGUGGCCCCUUAGACACCGGUUCGGGUGAGUCGGUUUUUCGGUUUGACGGUUUGAAUAAUCUUGGGUUCACAUGGGUUAAACCGGUCGGUUUAGGUUUGAAUUUAUGGACCCGAUGAUAUCCUAAACCGACCGGUUCAGUAGAAAUUAUGUUAUAGACCAUAAAUUCCUAAAUCAACCGGCCGGCCCAACCAAAACCAAGACUCUCUCUCAGUCUCAAAUCUCAAUUCAUUAGUUCCACUUCUUCGUGAGAUUCAUACGCACAAACAGCAACGUUACUCCGCUAGGGUUCAUCAUUCUCUCAGUUCGUGGUUUCAUCGUUUAACGAAGAACCGUCGCCGUCCAUUAUUCAACCACAAAUCACCACCGAUAUUGAUUUUGUGAAGGUGUUGUCGGUAAAUAUUGUUCCUACUCAGCUCGCCGACAACUUCCGGAAUAAGAAGCCUGAGGUUUUACUCUUGGCCGUUAUAAACUUCAUGUUAUCUAUAGCUACUAAUA